CCUCUGUCUCCACACAUGCACUCCGUAUCCACACACACGUGAAGGCUACGUACGUGCAGGCGCGCUGGAGCCGGGAGCGGGCGCCGAGGCCGGGGCGCGAGGGGGCAUUGUCAGGCGCCGCCGCAGCUCAGCCCCGGGUGGACCCGGUGCCUGCCCCUGGCUCGCGGGGUCCGGAACAGCGAAGUCUGAGAAGUACGAGUGCUUCUCCUAACAACAUUGUUUAGGUAGUCUGAACAGCCCUUUACUCCUGUCAUCAAAAAGAGGGGUAGGGAUACGCUAAGUUCCCCGUUUCAUCUCUGCGCAAACAGGACUGCGAAAAGAACAGGACCACCCAUCAGCAGCCCUGCAAGAACACUGCAGAUUUGCGCGAGAAGUAGGUUAUCUUCUAUGGAGAGGAAUUCUAGACCUAAUCAGAGACGAUCCCUUAAAAUGGUUUAAGAAAGGUUCGGAGAUAAGCAUACUUUGAUAGCGUUCACCUGUUUUCCCUGAGGACCCUUCGCCACUGGGAGUCGGGGAACACCUGUCAGUCAGAGUCCUCUGCUCUGAAAUUCGGUGCAGUAUUGAGAUAAAGUCAAAGAAAAGUUGGAGGCCAGUCAUGGUGGUGUGCAUCUGUGGUCCCAGCUACUCUGGAGGCUGAGGCAGGAGGAUUGCUGAAGCAUAGGAGUUUGAGGCUGCAGUGAGCCAUGAUUGUGCCACUGCACUCCAGCCUGGGCAACAGAGCAAGACCCAGUCUCAAAAAACAAACCAAAAAAAAAAAAAAAGGAGAAGAAAGAAAAGCUUCAGAGGGCACAACUUCCUUUUUUCUUCUAAUGUAACUGCACUGAGAAUUUCAAGCACAGGAAGUUCUACAUCCUCAACUACCAUGCGUAGAAAGCAAAACAUAGAAAGCGACGCGUUUCUUUCCGCAUCGUCACCUUCCACCUUCCGUCAGUCAGUCCGCAGUCCCUCUUCUCCAGUGAAGCCUGGUGUUAAUUUUCCACACACAGUGUUAUUCAGGGGCUGAUUAUCCUCUCUUAUUUGUAUUCAUUUGUUUUUUUAUACCUAUUUUGAAAAUUCAUACAGAAUAUAGGCAAAGAAGCUAAAAGAAAAAGUGAAACUCAGCACAUUUUUAAUUUUUUAUUAGUAAUUGCAUUUUUAAAAAAGGACAGUUACUGGAAGAGAAGGUAAUUGAAUAUAGAUUACAACAAGAUUUAGGGACAAUUAUAGA
rnacentral:lncRNA from 1 species